CAGCCGCCACGGUAAUACGGAGGGAGCUAGCGUUAUUCGGAAUUACUGGGCGUAAAGCGCACGUAGGCGGCUUUGUAAGUUAGAGGUGAAAGCCUGGUGCUCAACACCAGAACUGCCUUUGAUACUGCAUCGCCUGAAUCCAGGAGAGGUGAGUGGAAUUCCGAGUGUAGAGGUGAAAUUCGUAGAUAUUCGGAAGAACACCAGUGGCGAAGGCGGCUCACUGGACUGGUAUUGACGCUGAGGUGCGAAAGCGUGGGGAGCAAACAGGAUUAGAUACCCCUGUAGUCCCUGUCUCUUAUAA
rnacentral:rRNA from 1 species